UGGGGAAUAUUGCACAAUGGGGGAAACCCUGAUGCAGCAACGCCGCGUGCGGGAUGACGGCCUUCGGGUUGUAAACCGCUUUCAGCCAUGACGAAGCUUUUGUGACGGUAGUGGCAGAAGAAGCACCGGCUAACUACGUGCCAGCAGCCGCGGUGAUACGUAGGGUGCGAGCGUUGUCCGGAAUUAUUGGGCGUAAAGAGCUUGUAGGCGGUUUGUCGCGUCGAAAGUGUAAACUCAGUGCUUAACGCUGAGCCUGCUUUCGAUACGGGCUGACUAGAGGAAGGUAGGGGAGAAUGGAAUUCCCGGUGGAGCGGUGGAAUGCGCAGAUAUCGGGAGGAACACCAGUGGCGAAGGCGGUUCUCUGGACCUUUCCUGGCGCUGAGAAGCGAAAGCGUGGGUAGCAAACAGG
rnacentral:rRNA from 1 species